rnacentral:misc_RNA from 1 species
AACUGAUACUACCUGCGGGAACCUGCGGAAGGAUCAUUACCGAGUUAUCCAACUCCCAACCCCUGUGAAUCAUACCUUUAAUUGUUGCUUCGGCGGGACUUCGCGCCCGCCGGGGACCCAAACCUUCUGAAUUUUUUAAUAAGUAUCUUCUGAGUGGUUAAAAAAAUGAAUCAAAACUUUCAACAAUGGAUCUCU